rnacentral:rRNA from 1 species
CACGUAGGGCGCAAGCGUUGUCCGGAAUUAUUGGGCGUAAAGAGCUCGUAGGCGGUCUGUUGCGUCCGCUGUGAAAACUCGGGGCUUAACCCCGAGCCUGCAGUGGAUACGGGCAGACUAGAGGUAGGUAGGGGAGAAUGGAAUUCCCGGUGUAGCGGUGAAAUGCGCAGAUAUCGGGAGGAACACCAGCGGCGAAGGCGGCACUCUGGGCUGGAACUGACGCUGAGGAGCGAAAGCGUGGGUAGCAAACAGG